rnacentral:rRNA from 1 species
ACGCGAAGAACCUUACCUGGACUCGAAAUUUUGUUGACAGUCUCAGAGAUGAGAUCUUCCCGCAAGGGACAGCAGAAUAGGUGCUGCAUGGCUGUCGUCAGCUCGUGUCGUGAGAUGUUGGGUUAAGUCCCGCAACGAGCGCAACCCUCACCCUUAGUUGCUCGUCCGCAAGGAAAGCACCCUAAGGGAACUGCCUCGGAUAACGGGGAGGAAGGUGGGGAUGACGUCAAGUCCUCAUGGCCUUUAUGCCCAGGGCUACACACGUGCUACAAUGGCCGGUACAAACCGUCGCUUACCCGCAAGGGGAAGCCAAUCGGAAAAAACCGGUCUCAGUUCGGAUUGCAGGCUGCAACUCGCCUGCAUGAAGCUGGAAUCGCUAGUAAUCACGUAUCAGAACGACGUGGUGAAUACGUUCCCGGGCCUUGUA